rnacentral:rRNA from 1 species
UACGUAGGUGGCGAGCGUUGUCCGGAUUUACUGGGCGUAAAGGGAGCGUAGGCGGACUUUUAAGUGAGAUGUGAAAUACUCGGGCUCAACUUGAGUGCUGCAUUUCAAACUGGAAGUCUAGAGUGCAGGAGAGGAGAAUGGAAUUCCUAGUGUAGCGGUGAGAUGCGUAGAGAUUAGGAAGAACACCAGUGGCAAAGGCGGUUCUCUGGACUGUAACUGACGCUGAGGCUCGAAAGCGUGGGGAGCAAAUAGG